AAGUAGCUACAACCGGAGGUUUCACGCAGAUCCGAUUGAAACCAACUGAGCUAAAAUUUUGGAGAACGUGGAGUUCUUGCAAUAAGGUAGCUAUAACCGGAGGUUGUUCGAAACGCUUGAAGGACUUGGUUCAACUCGAAUCAAGGGGAGGGAAGUGAAUAGGAUCUGCAACAACACUAGGGGUUGAUUGGUGGUGAUCAUUUGUUCUCUUGUAUUAACUUUGCAACUUGUUAAUGAAAACAUCUCAAUUCU
rnacentral:lncRNA from 1 species